CAGUAGCCACGGUAAUACGUAGGGUGCGAGCGUUAAUCGGAAUUACUGGGCGUAAAGCGUGCGCAGGCGGUUUGUUAAGACAGAUGUGAAAUCCCCGGGCUUAACCUGGGAACUGCAUUUGUGACUGGCGAGCUAGAGUAUGGCAGAGGGGGGUAGAAUUCCACGUGUAGCAGUGAAAUGCGUAGAGAUGUGGAGGAAUACCGAUGGCGAAGGCAGCCCCCUGGGCCAAUACUGACGCUCAUGCACGAAAGCGUGGGGAGCAAACAGGAUUAGAUACCCCCGUAGUCCCUGUCUCUUAUAC
rnacentral:rRNA from 1 species